UUGUGUCAGGCGGCUUCCAGCGGUCGUUCCUGGUCAGCACCUCUGGAGACGGACUUGUCCACCCUCGCGGAAAUGAAGGACCCAUUCCGCAGAGGUGAACUCAGAGUGUUGUGGUGUUCCUUGUCUUUACUGUUUGAAUGCUGCCAUAACAACCAAAAUCUCCCCUUGUGAGAGUAAUAAAGAAGUUCGACCGAACUAAGCCCAGCAGUUCGUGACCCAGGCCGCGCAAGAGUUGGCCCCUCGGCGGAGCCUCAUCUCGAUGUCAUCGCUUCACGUACCUUUGUCAUUCUGCCACGACGAGUACCAGGACAAGCUGAGGAGCGUGGUGAAGAUGAAAAUCCCGGUGACCACAGUUCCAUUUCUGAGCCUCAUCUCAUUUCAGCGCUGCCUCCGUCUCGGCGCACUCGAUAUCGGGGAUCCCCUCCCUCCCGUCCCGGUCCGUCCGUCUCACCCCGUCUUCAGGAGACGGACCUCGGUCAUGUGUCUGGAAGGCAGGAAGAUGUUCUGCGGCCGGACAGAUGCGCGUCCUCCCUCGGAUGAGCCCCACGGUGGAGUGCUAGAAGCCGUGGCUCCUCCUGCAAAACUCCUGCGGCGAUCAGUCACGAGUCGGCCGGGUUUCAGUGACGCGACAUGAGCGACUAAGAAAGACGCCAGCUACGUGCCGAUACGAGCCAUUUUGAGGUCAAAACACCGGCCGUGCGAGGGCGAGAAGAGUGACGCUGUUUCUGUGGAAGUGAAGGCUGCUCGCCCGGGAAGGUGGUCCGACUAGCUACGCCUCAAAUCACAUCGAUUCCGCCUCACAGGUUCGCACAUCCACUCAAGGCGUUGACACACAGGACGCCGCCUCGGUGAUUAAAUCUUAACUCAUAUCUAUGCAAAUAUUACAAACUACCACCGGAGAGGCUUUGUUUGUUUGUUUUUUUACCGCCAGCAAGAUGGCUGGAAAUUCUAGUAAAAACGAACGGCAUAUAAAUUUGAAUAACAUAUCUCAAUAAUCGUAAUAAUAUAAAACCAUUUUAAAAUUGUUUUUACAAAAACAAUUUUCACGUUCGUACUACAGUGCGGCCACCUGUCACGCACAGCUUCCGGUGUCACCUUUCAAAAUAAAACUUGUCUUCCGGGGCCGAAAAAAUA